AGUCUUGUAGUGUAUAACACGUUAGGUUGCAAACCUAAAAAAGCGGGCUUACCCCCGCCCGGGCUU
rnacentral:tRNA from 1 species